rnacentral:rRNA from 1 species
UACGUAGGGGGCGAGCGUUGUCCGAAGUUACUGGGCGUAAAGCGCGUGUAGGCGGUUUUCUAAGUGGCCGGUGAAAUCCCCGGGCUCAACCCGGGAGGGUCUGGUCAUACUGGAAGACUGGAGUGCGGGAGAGGUGAGUGGAACUCCUGGUGUAGCGGUGAUAUGCGUAGAGAUCAGGAAGAACACCCGUGGCGAAGGCGACUCACUGGACCGCAACUGACGCUGAGACGCGAAAGCCAGGGGAGCGAACGGG